GACGAACGCUGGCGGCGUGCCUAAUACAUGCAAGUCGAACGCAGUGGGGACGGUUGAGUAACACGUGGGUAACCUCCCGUCAGAGGGGAUAACACUUGGAUACAGGUGCUAACCUGCUACGGAUGGAUGGACCCGCGGUGCAUUAGCGAGUUGGUGAGGUAACGGCUCACCAAGGCCACGAGGCAUAGCCGGCCUGAGAGGGUGAUCGGCCACACUGGGACUGAGACACGGCCCAGACUCCUACGGGAGGCAGCAGGAGGGAAUCUUCGGCAAUGGACGAAAGUCUGACCGAGCAACGCCGCGUGAGUGAAGAAGGUUUUCGGAUCGUAAAACUCUGUUGGUAGAGAAGCGGUAUCUAACCAGAAAGCCACGGCUAACUACGUGCCAGCAGCCGCGGUAAUUC
rnacentral:rRNA from 1 species